rnacentral:lncRNA from 1 species
UUUUUUUAUAUUUUUAUGAGAUAUCCACGAAUAAAAAUGUGUAACUUAGAUUUUAGAGAGGGACAAAAUUAGAUAUCUACAAAGUUUGUAUUGAAAAUAUAUGUGUUAAUUAUAAAUUUUUUUAAAAAAUAUAGUUAUAUUUAAUACUAUUAAGGAUAGAAUGGAAAAAAAUUAUCUGAAUAAGUUGGACAAGUAAAUUAAAAUAAUUGUUUUUAAAAAGAGAGCCAACAAAUUUAAAACGAAGGACGUAAUACAAAACCAAUAGGUAACAACCAUCCAAACAAGCUGUAAUUUUGGCUCAUUUACUGUUAACUCUCAUCUACAUAACAAAAGAACUAAACACGCACAGCCAGUCACAAAACUCUCUGAUCUUUCCCUUAUAUAUACCAUACCAAAAACAAGACUCGAAGGGGAAAAAAGGGGAGGGAGAGAUCACACACAAAAGUAAAAAAAUUAAAAAUUUAUAUGUAUAUACAUGCACGUUAAGACUGCGUCCAAUAAACUCUAGUAAUGGAAUUCUUCUCCGAACAUUGCUUAUAGCAGGAAUUUUAAUACAUCGAACAACCCUUUUUAUAUGUACAUACAUAUAUAACAUCUUGUACAAGAGGCUCAUUCAUAUGAGUCUCAACAGCAGCGCGCGCCUCAGCUGAAACUAAUUAAGGACCCCAACAGCUCAAGUACAUGACAGUCCUAAGAGACUCUUCAGCCUGUUUAAUCUUGUCAGACUUUGUUGCUUUGAUAGCAUUGGAAUCAAGAGCACAAGACCACUUUCUCGUUUGCCUCGACGAUGAUCCUCCUCCUCCACCACCACCACCACCACCACCACAAGACGAAUCCUUGAGCUUGAUUCCACUGUCACCACGUCUUGCUGCUUGGUCCUUCACCCCCUGAUGAUAAACUACCCUCAUCACACCUUGCUGCACUCUACCUAUCAUGUAACAGGAAAAAUUAUCCAACAGCUGCAAAAAAGUUUUUGUUUUGUAAAGUUGCCAAAGCGCAGGGGAAUGGUAUAUAUAGACGAAAAAGGAGUUACUCUGGGAAUCUGUUGACUAAUCGAAAUAACCGGCUGUUACAGGUGGUUUCACUAGUGUAUUUUCCGAAAGAAACCGGGCACUCGGUUGUGUUUGUUCAGUAAAGGACAUACACGUGUCGGUUAUGAAUUCGGGCUAAUCCGAUUGCUGACGUAGCAUUUGGGGAAAAGGUUAAUCAGUGUUGAUAAUGAUGCCAUCUGACCAAAAAAACAAAAAGAUAAUGAUGACAGGAAAAUGGGUAGGAUAUUUGUCAAGCAAGGUGGGACCCAGAUUAAUGUUAUGGAAAAAGUAUUAAUUUAGUGAUUUAUCCAACGGUUCAUAUGAUAGAAUGUGGUGACGUGGAUGUCAUACUUAUCUUCACAGCAAAAUAUUUGGAGAUAUUUCUCUUCUUAAAAUUAUUACUCAAUCUCCUAAGGUCCUACUCACAAGGUGUAGAAAUUUCUACACACGGAUAAAGAAAGAAAAAGUGGAAAAAGGUCCUUCAUCUUUAGGCAUGAAAGCGAAGUCAGUAAUCAAGAUUGAAUUGAUAUUAUUAUUGAAGUAUGUAAAAUGUAAGAUCGUUAUAAUAGUCAUUCGUAAUAAUAAGAACUGAAUUGGAA